GACGAAUGCUGGCUGCGUGCCUAACACAUGCAAGUCGAGCGGAUGAGGAGAGCUUGCUCUCUGAUUUAGCGGCGGACGGGUGAGUAAUGCCUAGGAAUCUGCCUGGUAGUGGGGGAUAACGUUCCGAAAGGAACGCUAAUACCGCAUACGUCCUACGGGAGAAAGCAGGGGACCUUCGGGCCUUGCGCUAUCAGAUGAGCCUAGGUCGGAUUAGCUAGUUGGUGAGGUAAUGGCUCACCAAGGCGACGAUCCGUAACUGGUCUGAGAGGAUGAUCAGUCACACUGGAACUGAGACACGGUCCAGACUCCUACGGGAGGCAGCAGUGGGGAAUAUUGGACAAUGGGCGAAAGCCUGAUCCAGCCAUGCCGCGUGUGUGAAGAAGGUCUUCGGAUUGUAAAGCACUUUAAGUUGGGAGGAAGGGUUGUAGAUUAAUACUCUGCAAUUUUGACGUUACCAACAGAAUAAGCACCGGCUAACUUCGUGCCAGCCGCCGCAGUAAUAC
rnacentral:rRNA from 1 species